UAUCUACAUUUUUCGCUUGUCAGACCAAGGCUUUUCCAUACUCUUAAUGUUUUGAGUUUAAUUAUAUGUUUGCGGUUUACCUUCACCUCUGUUUCUUUCUAUGUGUAUUUUGAUGAAUACUCUUUGACGCGGCUCGGUAUUUAUACAUCCCACCAGUUAGUUGUAGUGUUAUGAUUUUUUGAAUAUGUUUCCUAGUAUGUCUUUUUUCUCUCUCUUUGUAUGUUAUCAGGGGUUGUUAGACUAUUAAAUUACCCUGUUGUCCUACGUAGUUAUUUAUAUUUUUAUAUACUAUGUCGAAUUGUUACACUAUGUUGACUGCUC
rnacentral:lncRNA from 1 species